AAAGACCUAGUAAUAGGUAUGCUUAGGGAGGAGCUUGCGUCACAUUAGUUAGUUGGUGGGGUAAAGGCCUACCAAGACUAUGAUGUGUAGCCGGGCUGAGAGGUUGAACGGCCACAUUGGGACUGAGACACGGCCCAAACUCCUACGGGAGGCAGCAGUAGGGAAUUUUCGGCAAUGGAGGAAACUCUGACCGAGCAACGCCGCGUGAACGAUGAAGUAUUUCGGUACGUAAAGUUCUUUUAUUAGGGAAGAAUAAAUGAUGGAAAAAUCAUUCUGACGGUACCUAAUGAAUAAGCCCCGGCUAACUAUGUGCCAGCAGCCGCGGUAAUACAUAGGGGGCAAGCGUUAUCCGGAAUUAUUGGGCAUAAAGGGUGCGUAGGCGGUUAAAUAAGUUUAUGGUCUAAGUGCAAUGCUCAACAUUGUGAUGCUAUAAAAACUGUUUAGCUAGAGUAAGAUAGAGGCAAGUGGAAUUCCAUGUGUAGUGGUAAAAUGCGUAAAUAUAUGGAGGAACACCAGUAGCGAAGGCGGCUUGCUGGGUCUUUACUGACGCUGAGGCACGAAAGCGUGGGGAGCAAACAGGAUUAGAUACCCUGGUAGUCCACGCCGUAAACGAUGAGUACUAAACGUUGGGUAAAACCAGUGUUGAAGUUAACACAUUAAGUACUCCGCCUGAGUAGUACGUACGCAAGUAUGAAACUUAAAGGAAUUGACGGGACUCCGCACAAGCGGUGGAUCAUGUUGUUUAAUUCGAAGGUACCCGAAAAACCUCACCAGGUCUUGACAUGCUUCUGCAAAGCUGUAGAAACACAGUGGAGGUUAUCAGUUGCACAGGUGGUGCAUGGUUGUCGUCAGCUCGUGUCGUGAGAUGUUGGGUUAAGUCCCGCAACGAGCGCAACCCUUAUUGUUAGUUACCAGCACGUAAUGGUGGGGACUUUAGCAAGACUGCCAGUGAUAAAUUGGAGGAAGGUGGGGACGACGUCAAAUCAUCAUGCCCCUUAUGACCUGGGCUACAAACGUGAUACAAUGGCUGUUACAAAGGGUAGCUGAAGCGCAAGUUUUUGGCGAAUCUCAAAAAAACAGUCUCAGUUCGGAUUGAAGUCUGCAACUCGACUUCAUGAAGU
rnacentral:rRNA from 1 species